GCGGUGUCAUCACAGGCAUUACAAAACAUCGUGCAGUCUAACUAUUACGUCAGCGGUUAGCAGUACUACUAAUAUGUGACAUCAACUACAAAAAGAAAACUAAGUCAGUAUGAAAGUUGGGUCACGCUCGUCUUGCGUUAGCGCUGCCGAGGAACUAUUGGUGCUCGAUCACGUGGUAUGAAACAAGCAGUUUGAUUGAAAGAGACCGACCUCGGUGGUGUCGUGGUUAAGCCAUCGGACAUAAGGCUGAUUGUGUAAUCGAACGUUGAUCCGUUGGUGCAGAUGGACUAUAACAGAUGAUCGAUGAUGAAAUUUAACCGAUUUCCAACGCUAACAUAUACAUUAUAUGCAAUAAAUAUGUUUUCAAUCCAUCAACUCACCAGUGUCAUUGUAGCACAGGACGCCAGCAUAUAAAAUAUGUUUUCAAUCCAUCAACUCACCUGUGUCAUUGUAGCACAAAACGCCAGCA